rnacentral:rRNA from 1 species
UACGUAGGGGGCAAGCGUUGUCCGGAUUCAUUGGGCGUAAAGAGCGUGUAGGCGGCCAGGUAGGUCGGUUGUGAAAACUGGAGGCUCAACCUUCAGAGGUCGACCGAAACCAUCUGGCUAGAGUCCGGGAGAGGAGAGUGGAAUUCCCUGGUGUAGCGGUGAAAUGCGCAGAUAUCAGGAAGAACACCCGUGGCGAAAGCGGCUCUCUGGAACGGUACUGACGCUGAGACGCGAAAGCGUGGGAGCGAACAGG